GUAGUUGAACCUUGGGCCUGGCUGGCCGGUCCGCCUCACCGCGUGUACUGGUCCGGCCGGGCCUUUCCCUCUGUGGAACCCCAUGCCCUUCACUGGGUGUGGCGGGGAAACAGGACUUUUACUUUGAAAAAAUUACAGUGCUCCAGGCAGGCCUAUGCUCGAAUACAUUAGCAUGGAAUAAUGAAAUAGGACGUGCGGUUCUAUUUUGUUGGUUUCUAGGACCGCCGUAAUGAUUAAUAGGGACAGUCGGGGGCAUCACUAUUCAAUUGUCAGAGGUGAAAUUCUUGGAUUUAUUGAAGACUAACUACUGCGAAAGCAUUUGCCAAGGAUGUUUUCAUUAAUCAGGAACGAAAGUUAGGGGAUCGAAGACGAUCAGAUCCC
rnacentral:rRNA from 1 species